rnacentral:rRNA from 1 species
CUACGGGUGGCAGCAGCGGGGAAUAUUGCACAAUGGGCGCAAGCCUGAUGCAGCAACGCCGCGUGAGGGAUGAAGGCCUUCGGGUUGUAAACCUCUUUUAGCAGGGAAGAAGCGAAAGUGACGGUACCUGCAGAAAAAGCACCGGCUAACUACGUGCCAGCAGCCGCGGUAAUACGUAGGGUGCAAGCGUUGUCCGGAAUUAUUGGGCGUAAAGAGCUCGUAGGCGGUUUGUCACGUCUGCUGUGAAAAUCCAAGGCUCAACCUUGGACUUGCAGUGGGUACGGGCAGGCUAGAGUGCGGUAGGGGAGAUGGGAAUUCCUGGUGUAGCGGUGGAAGGCGCAGAUAUCAGGAGGAACACCAAUGGCGAAGGCACAUCUCUGGGCCGUAACUGACGCUGAGGAGCGAAAGCGUGGGGAGCGAACAGGAUUAGAUACCCGGGUAGUC